UACGAAGGGUGCUAGCGUUGCUCGGAAUCAUUGGGCGUAAAGGGUGCGUAGGCGGGUCUUUAAGUCAGGGGUGAAAUCCUGGAGCUCAACUCCAGAACUGCCUUUGAUACUGAAGAUCUUGAGUCCGGGAGAGGUGAGUGGAACUGCGAGUGUAGAGGUGAAAUUCGUAGAUAUUCGCAAGAACACCAGUGGCGAAGGCGGCUCACUGGCCCGGUACUGACGCUGAGGCACGAAAGCGUGGGGAGCAAACAGG
rnacentral:rRNA from 1 species